CAUGGCCCCCACCAGGGGGGGGUAGAUCAAACUAAUUUCUCCUGUGUCUCCUGCAUUGCAGGCAGAUUUUUUACUCAUGAGCCACCAGGGAAACCAUAUCCCUCCUUAAUGGGACACAAAGGAUACAGCGGAUGGGAUUGGAUGUUUUCCUGCCCCCAGAAGAAGAAAGCUCACACAGGACCCAGAAAAGGAAGAGGAUUUAAGCUUCAUCAUGCCUGGAAAAAGAGACAAGUAGAAAGUCAUAGACUGAGAUAUGACGCAGGAAAUGUCAGGAUACUCAAAAUUAAAUCAAGAUCAUCAACAGCAUCAGGAUCUUUUCCAAUGAGUCAUCUCUUCGCAUGGGGUGGCCAAAGCACUGGAGUUUCAUAUUCAGUGGUAAAAGAUGGAAAACCUUUCCUCUAACAACAGGAACAAGGUAUAAGUGCUGAUAAAAGUUUCCUAGAAACAAGCAAUAUCCCUCCAUUUCUAAAACUCUGCUGGAGAAGAGAAGCUAAGCCAGAAGCUAUUUCUUCAGAGAGAUACAACUGAUGAAUUUUUGACAAUACUAAUCAUGGGGGGAAAAGUAAAUAUGAAUAAACAAUAUUAAGAAUGGAAAUCACAAUGUAAUUGCAAAGUCAAGAAAAAAUAAAUGUAAUAAGAUUGAAACAAUGAUUGUAUACUAACAUAUUUGAAAAUAGAUGAAAUGAGAAAAUUCACAGGAAACAACAGAUUAUGGCAGAG
rnacentral:lncRNA from 1 species